rnacentral:rRNA from 1 species
UAGGAAUCUACCUAGUAGUGGGGGAUAGCUCGGGGAAACUCGAAUUAAUACCGCAUACGACCUACGGGAGAAAGGGGGCAACUUGUUGCUCUCGCUAUUAGAUGAGCCUAAGUCGGAUUAGCUAGAUGGUGGGGUAAAGGCCUACCAUGGCGACGAUCUGUAGCUGGUCUGAGAGGAUGAUCAGCCACACCGGGACUGAGACACGGCCCGGACUCCUACGGGAGGCAGCAGUGGGGAAUAUUGGACAAUGGGGGAAACCCUGAUCCAGCCAUGCCGCGUGUGUGAAGAAGGCCUUUUGGUUGUAAAGCACUUUAAGCAGUGAAGAAGACUCUUCGGUUAAUACCCGGAGACGAUGACAUUAGCUGCAGAAUAAGCACCGGCUAACUCUGUGCCAGCAGCCGCGGUAAUACAGAGGGUGCAAGCGUUAAUCGGAAUUACUGGGCGUAAAGCGAGCGUAGGUGGCUUGAUAAGUCAGAUGUGAAAUCCCCGGGCUUAACCUGGGAACUGCAUCUGAUACUGUCAGGCU